CGGGUAGUUAAGUGAUAAGCCACCAAUGUCAGUAACACUGCUGGGGGUCAAGAGGUCGCAAGUUCAAAUCUUGUCGCCCCGA
rnacentral:tRNA from 1 species